rnacentral:lncRNA from 1 species
GGUGGUACAUCGUCGUCCGUAUCAUAACAGUAACUCAACUGCUGAUGACGGUGAUGUUCUGAGGACACACAGCGUUAAAACAAGGUUUUGAGAAACUAGUCUGUCCCUGCUUUCGUUUCUCACCUCUAUGGGUUUGGACAAGAGUUACUGCUGCUGAUGCUGCUGGUGCUGUAUCUGGCCAGGAGAGAGUUGAGCUCUCGAUCGCUAGAAACUGAACCACAGGUACGUACCUUGUUUGCAUUGAACUUGUAGUUGUUCCAUCUCACAUUUUGCUGGCAGAUCAACCGGGACAAAAGACUUGGUGGCGUUGAGAAGCACGUCGCAGGUGCAAGAUUCGGCAAUUCCCUGGAGAUUGUCGCAGCAGGCCUGUGUCGGCCAGUCGUGCGGAGAUUGGGAACACGGUUGCAACAUCAGUGUUACUUGCUGGAUGCUACACGCUCGUGAGCCAGCAACUGCAGCAGCAAGAACGAAGGAUAGAGUGGCGACGAGUGUCAGAGCCAUGGAACGCCUUCACUUGCAGUC